AACUCAGAAGCAGCCCCCAGGCUCUGGCAGCUGUUGCUUUCCCACCUUCCUGGUGGUCCUGGCCCUCAAACAGUCUCUUCUUGCUUUUCAGGGAGAUGCCAUACUUUUGCUGGGUAAUGCCUCGCCAUGCCUCCCCAGUCUGCGUUACCCCGGGCUGCUCUGCCAGCCCGUGUGACCGGCUCUACCGAGUCUCUGUAUGCUGAUGUGCCGGCACGUGCAUUUGUAAAGUCUGUUUUGGAAUUCUUCUCCCCGCAACCCACCCAGGGCCCUCCAAAUGUUCCCUGCCCUGCUUAAUAGUGGCAGAGGGCUGGGAUGGGAUGGGCACUCUCCCU